GAACCGGCCAAUUAUUUGUGACGAGAGGUUAGUCGUUUAUACGUUUGACCAAAGAGAAUACCUGAACACGCGAUUGAAAGAAACGAUACAGUGACGGCAUUCGAAAUGUGUUUCAAAACGCUUUUAAUUGAUUGCGUCUACCCACAACGCUGACCAGUGAGUGGAACGAGAAAAUAGCGGGAAAACGAGCCGAAGCUUGCGAAAGGUCGUUCCAGCGACAAGAUGGAAAGGAGACGAUUAAAUGAAGCGCAAGAUUUUCGCAGAGGACAAAGAAACAUUCGGUGAAAAAGGGGUCCGCAAGUUCGCAGAGAGCACGCUGCCAGAGCUUGAGGAGACCUUACGUAGGCGGACAGUUGAGCACCGGCUGCGCUUUACGAGCCCGUUCUUCCUCCCCGCCGACGGCUGUGCACAAUAUACAAAACGUUAAUAUCCUGCGACGAGGAGUUAAUGGACACGCGGCACGGAGCUUCCCCGUUACGUAGGCGCAGAUAAUAUAUAGUUGAUGUAACGAGGUUAUAACCGGGUGCAGGACGGCCAAGCAACCCCUUUCGUCCGUUUUGCGUGCCUCCCGUUAAACGUGACGAGGACAAAUUGUGAACGCCUCGUCCCUUUCCUCCCUCCCUCGCUAGCGACCCCUCUUUCUUUUCGUGAUGGAUGGUCCUACCAGGUGAUGCACCCUCUAGUUAAAAACCCACCCCCGUGGAAAUCUAUCUCCUUUCCCUCGGUCCCCGUCUACGCUCGAACCUUUUCGCUUCUUUCUCCUUAUCUUCCGACACUCCACGGUGGACCGUGAACCCCA